GACGUAGGGGACGAGCGUUGUCCGGAUUUAUUGGGCGUAAAGCGCGCGUAGGCGGCCCGGUAAGUCGGAUGUGAAAUCUCACGGCUCAACCGUGGAACUGCAUUCGAAACUGUCGGGCUAGAGGCAGGUAGGGGAGAUCGGAAUUCCCGGUGUAGCGGUGAAAUGCGCAGAUAUCGGGAGGAACACCGGUGGCGAAGGCGGAUCUCUGGGCCUGUCCUGACGCUCAGGCGCGAAAGCAUGGGUAGCGAACAGG
rnacentral:rRNA from 1 species